rnacentral:rRNA from 1 species
GAUGAACGCUGGCGGCGUGCCUAAUACAUGCAAGUCGAGCGAACAGACGAGAGUGCUUGCACUCUCUGACGUUAGCGGCGGACGGGUGAGUAACACGUGGGUAACCUACCUAUAAGACUGGGAUAACUUCGGGAAACCGGAGCUAAUACCGGAUAAUAUUUAGCUUCGCAUGAAGCAAUAGUGAAAGACGGUUCUGCUGUCACUUAUAGAUGGACCCGCGGUGUAUUAGCUAGUUGGUGAGGUAACGGCUCACCAAGGCAACGAUACAUAGCCGACCUGAGAGGGUGAUCGGCCACACUGGGACUGAGACACGGCCCAGACUCCUACGGGAGGCAGCAGUAGGGAAUCUUCCGCAAUGGACGAAAGUCUGACGGAGCAAUGCCGCGUGAGUGAAGAUGGUUUUCGGAUCGUAAAACUCUGUUGUAAGGGAAGAACAAGUACGUUAGUAACUGAACGUACCUUGACGGUACCUUACCAGAAAGCCACGGCUAACUACGUG